rnacentral:lncRNA from 1 species
GAGCCACUGCACCCAGCCUGUUCUCUCUUAAAAGAUCUGUUCAUGUGAUUUACUCAAUAUUUUGGUUCCUCUUUGUGGAAGAGGCACAUCCUAGCUGCAUCUAGUCAGCCAUGUUGAACCUGGUAUCUUUAUUGCAUUUUUCAUUUGUUGUACUCUGCAGCUAUGGAACUUUUUUUAUUUCAAUCUAUUAAAUUUCUCAUUUUGUUUUCCUGAUUUCAUUGAAUUGUUCCUCUGUAUUUCCUUGGUUUGCUGAGCUUCCUUAAAAUGAUUACUUUGAAUUCUUUGUUAUGUAGUUUGUUGCUCUCCAUUUCUCUGGCAUUAGCUACUGGGAAAUUAUUGUGUUCUUUUGAUAUUGAUGUUUUCUUGGCUUUUCAUGUUUCUUUUUACCUUACGUUGAUGUUUGAGCAUUUGGUGCAGCAGUCACCUCUUCCAGACUUUUAAGACUGGUUUUGUUAAGGAAAGACUUCCCCUGUGAGAGGGGGAUGUGAGGGCACUGGCUGGGUGAGGUGCAGUGAUUCUGGCAGCUGUGAGGAUGCAACAGUGUAGUCUCCUUGUAGCUCUUUCAGCUGAGAUCACUGUUGAAAACUGCAGGGAUCCUCAGCAACCAACACUGUCAGUGUUUGCAGCAGUGGUAAGGGCUGUUGGGGUGCUUGGUGAUGAUGACUGUAGGGUCCUCUUGAUCUCUCUUUCCCCGACCAGGGAAGUUGUGGCUAAAGGGAUCCUUCUUGACACUGGGUCUGGCAUGCAAGCCCACUUGAGGUGGCAAUGGAACUGGUGUCUGAUGAGUGAUGCCCACAGAGCAGCAUGUGUAAAGGGACUAUAGCUCUGGGGUGGUAAUGGCACUGGUGCCCAGGGCACAGACACCCUGCUGGUGAAGUAUGGGAGCUUGUGAAACAGGCAGGGACAAGAGCACAAGUGUGCACACAGCUACAGCGGCUUUAGUGUGGAGGCAAGGCCUGGCCCUCUGUGAUGACUGAGCUGGUCUCCAGGGUGUAAACACAUAGAGAAACCUUGGCUCUGGGGCCCAGGGUGUAAACUCCCUUACUAUGGCAGUGGCUUUACUGUUUGCGGUAUAGGUGUGCACAGCCCAGCCUUGGAGUCAGGGCCUGGAGCAUGGGCUCUCAAUGGCAGCUGAGCUGGUGUUUGGAGUGUGGACAUGCAGAGAGAUCUUGGCUCUGGAGUGCAAACUAGCUUGCUAUGGCCAUGGCUGUUGGUUACCUUUGUGGCAAAAGAAGGUGGUAUCCUCUGCAGAGCAGGCCACAUGACUGAUAUCGAUAGUGCCUGCCUUUCUUCUUAGCCAUCUUCUGGUGUCUCAGGAAUUCUGAUCUCAUAAGCAAUUUUUUAUGUGCAUUUUUUCUUUUAAUUCUCCACUAGGUUGUUGCACAUUUUUUAAUGGGCCCUUGAGGCUGGGUGCAGUAGCUCAUGCCUGUAAUUCUAGCAGUUUGGGAGGCUGAGGCAGUAGGAUCGCUUGAGCUCAAGAGUUUGAGACCAGCAUAGGCAACAUAGUGAGGCCCUGUUUCUACUCAGAAACAAAAAUAAAAAACAACCAAAAACUUAGUCAAGCAUGGUGGCACCUGAGUCCCAGCUAUUUGGGGAGUCUGAGGUGGGAGGAUCACUUCAGCCCAGGAGUUUGAGGCUGCAGUGUGCUAUGAUCACACCACUGCACUCCAGCAUAGGCGACACAGUGAGAGAUCCUGCCAUUCAUUAAUUCAUACAAACAUAUAUACAUAUAUUAAGACAAUUGCCCUUGAGCCCUCCAGGGCUAUUUUGGUUUGUGGAUAGCAGUGUGUAUUUGUUUCUUUUGACGGGGCAUGAAGGCUGUUAUCUCCUCCACCAUUUUGGUGACAUCACUUGCCAAAAUUUCCAUAUACUUCUGAUUUGUGCAUUUUUUGGUGGGUAUAAUGUAAUUUUAAAAAAGUGAUUAGCUGAAAGUUAGGAGGGCCUUUUUACCCCCAGAACAGACAUCAUGUUUAUUACAUCCACUCUCAUACCUAUGGACUAAAAGCAAGACACAUACCCACACCUAAAGUUGUUGGGGGGGUAAACUGUGGCCAUUGUGAAGCCAUAGCAAAGUGAGGAGGGAGGCAGAAAUAUCCAAAGAGGGUACUUUUUUUUUCCCCCUUGGGUAUCAGAAAAUUGGCUUUGUCGGGAUUAAUAAGACUUUUUAAAAGCACUUGUGCAAGACAGUAUCCUAAAUAAUUUACAUGAAGUAUCUUAUAUAAUCCUCAUGCAAUAACCCUGUGCAGUAAGUACUGUUACCAUCCCCAUUUUACAGAUGACAUGGAGGAUAAGAGGAGUAACUUACUCAAGGUCAUACAGCUAGUAUGUAGUAGAGGAAGCACUUAACCCCAAGCAAUCUGACAUCAGAGCUUGACUAUAGGAGGGUACUUAAAAUUUUUUUUUGGCUGGGUGCAGUGGGUGAGUCCUGUAAUCCCAGCACUCUGGGAGGCCAAGGCAGGAGGAUUGCUUGACGCUGUAAGUUUGAGACUAGCCUGGGCAACAUGGCAAGACCCCGUCUCUACAAAAAUGUUUUAAAAAUAGCUGGGUGUGGUGGUGCAUGCCUGUAGUCCUAGCUACUUAGGAGGCUGAGGCUGGAGGAUAGCUUGAACUGAGCCAAGGGGUUCAAAGUUAGUUAUAGUGAGCUAUGAUUGUGCCACUGCACUCCAGCCUCGGUGACAGAGCAAGACCCUGUCUCUAAAAACACAAUCAGAUCGCUGAGCUCUACCCCAGAAUUUCCAACUCAACAUGGUUGGGGCCAAAGAAUUUGCAUUUUCUAACACGUUCCCAGGUGGUGCUGCUGCUCCUUACCCAGACAACCCCACUUGCAAUCUGCCCUUUUGAGUGUUUUCUAUUUAUCUUGAGUUUAAUGAAAUGAAGCAAAAUCACACACUUAAAACUUUUAGAAGGAGAACAAUUUUAUUCUAAAAAUAGAACUUGGUAACAAUGAAAUACCAAAAGCUGGUCAUUAUA